AGUGAACGCUGGCGGUAGGCCUAACACAUGCAAGUCGAACGGCAGCACAGAGGAGCUUGCUCCUUGGGCGGCGAGUGGCGGACGGGUGAGGAAUCCAUCGGAAUCUACUCUGUCGUGGGGGAUAACGUAGGGAAACUUACGCUAAUACCGCAUACGACCUACGGGUGAAAGCAGGGGACCUUCGGGCCUUGCGCGAUUGAUUUAGCCGAUGUCGGAUUAGCUAGUUGGCGGGGUAAAGGCCCACCAAGGUGACGAUCCGUAGCUGGUCUGAGAGGAUGAUAAGCCACACUGGAACUGAGACACGGUCCAGACUCCUACGGGAGGCAGCAGUGGGGAAUAUUGGACAAUGGGCGCAAGCCUGAUCCAGCCAUACCGCGUGGGUGAAGAAGGCCUUCGGGUUGUAAAGCCCUUUUGUUGGGAAAGAAAUCCAGCUGGCUAAUACCCGGUUGGGAUGACGGUACCCAAAGAAUAAGCACCGGCUAACUUCGUGCCAGCCGCCGCAGUAA
rnacentral:rRNA from 1 species